rnacentral:pre_miRNA from 1 species
UGGACAGAUUAUUGUAUUCAACUGUAUUCACGGGCGUGAACAGGGGAUUACACUGUUUUUAAACGGAAAGUGAAUCAAUUAACAUAAUAGACUCCU